ensembl:lncRNA
CUGAGAAUGUUAUGCUCCUUUUGUAGUGUUUCCACAUGAAGGAUUAGAUACUGCACUGUAUGAGGCAGGUCUAUGAGGCAAGAUGGAAAAGACUAUACAUGGAUUAAAAAAAAAAAAAAAAAAAGAUGUGGAAAAAAAAGGCAGAAAUAUCAUUAGAUAGUCUAAAAGGAUCAAAUCUGAGGUUCUAAGUGGUAUAACUACGAGAUAAGAGACAACAGCUACCAGUGAGCUACCAGAUGCAGAAAAACGCAGAAACACUGCUGUGAAUAUGUUGAUUUUCUCUUUGUCUCCACCACUACUUCAGGAAAAUAGUGAAGAAGUUGCUGAUCUGUUUUUCUAAGGCUGAUAAGGGCAGGAAGAAUGAAGAAUGCCAGCAUUGGUACUGAAGAGCUGCUAGGAGAUAUUCUCAUCCAAGAGUCGACAAAAUUAAAUGUUAAAACCUUCUUCCAAGAGGCAGUAUCAGCAGAACUACAGCCUAUACAGCGUCCUCUAAUGCACUCGGGAGCUCCAGAGCUAAAAUGAUGAAAGCUGAUAAUCUAGUUCUGUAGCACACAUGAGAAGACAUGAAUUUUCUGUGGGACACGCGCAAUAGCAGCCAUUUAUCAGUGGGUUAUGUGAAGCUCAUUAAGUACUGUGCAAGUCCUGCAAGUUUUGCACAAUAUAGUUUCCUAGCAAAGCCAGCUGUUCUGAUCUGUCUCACCUUGACUGAGCUGCUGAAGAUUUCUACAAGAAUAAGGGAAAGGAAAACAGUACAAAAGCUUCAGAGUACUUACUAGAUGAAAGUAAAUUAUGUUCAGACUGUUGCAAUCAGCGAUCAGG